GGGUGGUUAGCUCAGCGGUAGAGCAAUUGACUGCAGAUCAAUAGGUCAUUGGUUCAACUCCGAUACUGCCCU
rfam:Stentor coeruleus isolate WM001 SteCoe_contig_297, whole genome shotgun sequence.